GAGUCCCUCCCUCUAAAAGCACUCUGUGUGGGGAACAUGAGAGCCAGACCAAAGAUCAGGGGAACCCACCUGGACCUCCACCCAGUUAUAAGAGCAAGGAAGUGAAGGUCGUAAUUAAGAAAUUUGAAAAUGUAAUACAGAAGGAAAAAAUGACCCAUCAGAGACUCAAACGUGGACCUCCACCCAGCUGUGUCUCCUUAAAGAGUGACCGGUCUAAAGAUGGCCACAUUAAUUUUAAAGUCUCUGCUGCAGAGAGAGGUCAGAAGUCACAGUCUCCAGGAUCAAGCUGUCCGCCUAUGAAGAAUGAUGAAUCUAAAGAUUCACCUCCACUCUGCAGUGAUGAACCUGGACCAAGGAG